CAGACAGGAAGGAACAGCCCUUAAUAUCUUAGCGACUGCAUAGAAUCACAGAACCACCGAAUGCUGAAUCCCUGGGAGCACGAAUCCCAGGCAGCACAUCCCUCCCUUCUUCCUUCUCCCCUGUGCUGCCCCAGCCCAGCAUGGCCGGGUAGGCCGCCGCCAGCAGCAGCCGCAGGGCCCGGCUCCGCCCGCUGGCGUUGCCACGGCGAUCGGCUGUUGCCAGGUAGCCAGCAGCAAAGAGGAGGUCGGGAACCAGCAAGGCCUAAAAAUAAAGAUGUUGGGGCUUCUAGCAACAGAAACAACCUAAACAUGAUGGUAGGAAGAUUUUCUAAAUCAACACAAGCGUAAGGCAAAACUGCAGGAAAGGAGAUAAACUGUUGGGAGCAUGUGAAGAAACAGAUGAAAGAUUAAAAGCCUUCUGAACCUC